GAACUUCAGCUGAACAUCUGUAAUGAUUGUUUGAAACAUCUUCUUCUCUGAUAUUGUCAUAUUUUGUUCUCGUGGAAUGCUCCAAAGAUCUUCUAUCUACAGUUGUAGCUGUAUUAUUCGAGUUUUGAUUCAUACAUUAUAAAACCCUAGAGUUUUACUUGGAUUUCUUGUUUUUGAAAUUUAUGCCAAGUUUCCUUUGAAAUCUUCCAAGUCAUAUUAUAGAUUAUUAUCAUCCAUUGAAAUCUUAAUCUUGAGCACCAAUUUUGCUUCUAAACUGACAUCUUUCUUGUUUACGCGAGUGUUUCAUGGAUCAAGCUCAGAUCAAGCGUUAAAUGCAACAACGAGACUUCAAUUCAAGUUUCAAAUAUGGUUGGAGAUGUUUGCUUGACCAUGCUUUCAGAUGAUGAGUUUUCUGACAAACAUCUCCAGCGAUAUUUGAAACUUAAAAUGAAGUCAUCGAGCAAGGAUCCAAGAGGAAAAAGCUAGGUUUUCAAGCCAAUCUCUGUGUUUCCCAAGAGCUUUGUUCUUCCAGGUAUGUAUGGUUAUUCCUAGUGAUAGACUGAGUUCGUCCUCAUGCCCUACAUCUUAAUUCAGGCAGUAAGAGUUAAAUCUAGGAUUAUACCCUUAGCUUCGAGAGUCUCUUAUAUGAGUCGAGUUAUUAUUUAUGAAUUCUAAAUUCUUGAUUAUGAAUAAUUGCACUAUAUUAUGCUUUGAGAUCUUUGAGUAAUUAUUCAUGUUGAUAAUCCCACAUGAACCCUGCUUUCUGAGUUUUGAUUGAGAAUCUUUAAAACAAGCAUCUUUCCUUAAAUUUAUUUUUGAGAAGUUAGCAUGAGUUCAAUAGCAAGUUAAAGUAUAAAUGUCUAUUUUGACAAGAGUUUAAGGGAACUAAAGGAUUCCCAAAAGUAUCAUUUUUAUGUUGAAAAGAAAGUACUAUUUUUCAGAAUGGUAUAAAGAGCUUUCAGGGAUUACAAGAAAUUGAGUACAGAGCAAUUACCUCUUAAAGAGGCCCUUUUGAGAACUUAUCUCAACCCAGAGAGUAUUUUUACUUGAGCAUUGAGUCAUAUAUUUUGAGAAUAGUAUUGAGUAUCGAUAUGGGGAAGAGUUUAGUCAAUUCACAUUCCCCAUAAACCAUGUAGCUAGUGUGGGAUAGGAUCGUAUUGACAUUUGGGCGACUCCUCACUGCCUCUGAGAACGCCUAUUAGAUGGAUCCAUGAGUUGAGUAUGUUCAAUACCCCGACAAGGUACAAGACAAUUCUGACAACGUGGGCGAGAUGCUGUAUCAUCUCAAAGCUCAUAGUGAUGGUUGUCGGUUAAAGAAUCUCCCUGAUUGAGUAAAGGGUAUUUCAUUAUCAUAUUUAUAUUUGACACUUCAUUGAGUUAACAUUUUAUUAGUAAAUCAUUUAAAUGGUUUUAUUUCUACUUAUGCUUUACAUUCAGUUGAGUAUGUUGCUUCAGCCUCUUCAGUUCAGUUAUUUAUUUUCCUCAGCUAUAUUACAUACUCGUACAUUCAAUGUACUGAUGUUAUUCGACCUGCAUCUUUUCAUGAUGCAGGUACAACUGUAGCUGUAUUAUUAUUCCAGUUUAAUUCAGACAUUAUAAAACCAUAGAGUAUUACUUGGAUUUGUUGUUUUUGAAAUUUACGUCAAGUUUCCUUUGCGAACAGCCUUCCUGUUAGGGUUCUCUUUUGGGGAUUUUAGACUUGAGAUUUCAACUUGCUGGUUCUCCUAAAUCAUUCUGGUGGAACUGGUAUGACUGAUACACCUGCUGGAGCUUGGCUAUUUGUGGUUGCUCUAAUCCUGCAGCAUGACAUAGGAGUAAACAUUUUACUAGUUGGUAAGUUGACAAACUCUCUCCUACCCUGUAAACAUGGAGUAUAGGAACUUUUAAGGUUUUAGUUGUGCUAACUAAAGUUGUGUUCUAUUAAUGUGUAGAAAUAAUAUAUGCUGAAAGAAUCAUAAAAAUGCUGAUGUAUUUUGCAAUUCAUGAUUGUAGCCAGUUCGUAUCAUGUUUAUUUAUAGGACAUCGAGUCACUUCUGUCCCUUUGGUAUUUGGUCAUUUCCUGCCAAGCUUGCUUCGUUAUAAUUCUACUAAAUUAUCCUGUUAUGUGGCGGAGAAACUUUAAUAAUGAUUAUAACUUGUUCGUCUAUACAUGAUUAAUAAGCAAUGAUCUUAAAAAUAGGUAUUUGAGAAGAAAGCCAAAAUGAUGCACAAGCCAAGGUUUCUUUCCCAUUGAAACAUGGAAGAUUCUUUUGCUAAUACCUAGGCAUGAUGCAUGUGCCUCAACAAUUAUUUCUGAAACAAGGCAUUGUUAGGUCGGAUUGAUACUGCAUUUGCCUUUCAAAAUUAUAAUGUGCAGAGGUAGGUCAAAAUUGAUUAGGCUUUCAGUUCCAUACUAAGAUUGACCUCUUGGAAAUCUUUAAGAUGUGCGGUAGUGUCUUUCAAUGGAAUUUCAUGAUAUUCUUUUUGCGAGUUCAUUUUGCCAAUCUAGGAGAUCUGCAAAUAUAAAUCCAAAUUGACUCCUGGUUCAGCUGAUUCUUCAACUUCAGAUGUAUCGUUUGUGAAGGAGUCAAUUGUUGACAUUGAAUUUCUGGAGAUGCACAAUCCUCUUGGGAUUAUAUUGGACAAUUUCAAUGUGUUAUUGCGGAGACAACAUGAGGCUCAUUAAAUCUUGAGAAUCUUGGACUAGAGGGAUCUGACAUUCAAGGGGAUAUCUUCUUUGAACUUUGAUGCACAUGGCAGAGUAAGGUUGGCUCAACUUGAAGAAUAGACAAGAUUCCAUUAUUAGCAGCGUCCUUGCUUGUUGGUGAGUGCAAAGGUAUCGAUAGGGCUAUGAAUGACAUCCACCAAUCCAGCAAGCUGGGCUGGAAAUGCUAAAAUCUUAGGGACCCUACAUGAUGCCCAACCAUACAUGAUCAGCAAUGGAGAUUUAUGUAGCUGAGGUAACUUUUCAAAAGUUGAGACACAUUUAUACAAAUUUGUAUGAAUAUUUCCAAUAUUUGAGACACUCUAAGCUUCAUCAAGAUUUCAUGCACUUGGAGCCUAGUAAUAUAUUGAGUUCGUCAUUUCUUUUGAUAAUUGAUUGCUUUUCUUGCAACAGGCUAUCAGUGCUCACAACCACAUUUACUGUCUCAUCAAUCUAAGGUACAUGUUGUCAUUGCUGACUGCCAAUUUCUAUGUAUUUUUUUGUUUCUGACAAACCCAAAAAAAAGAGAAUGGUAGUAACAAUGUAUUACAAAUAAAUGAAGAAGCUUAAAAAGUUCCUACAUAAUAUUCGUAAUGUGGAAAAGACAACUACUUUAUCUUAUUGUGGAAUGCAAUACACAAAAUGUGCAAACAUAUACUGAAGAGUAACACAAGAAAUAAAAGCGGAGCGGUUCCCCUUGUUGGUGUAUAAUGGUAUUGAAAUUCUUUAUUUCUCUGUUUCCUUGUGAUUGCAAGUCAUGUUUUCUUUAAUCAUUCAUUCAGAUUCAGACGUUUAAAUCUUAAUGAAAACAAAUGAGGCUUAAAUGACACGUCUACCUAAUGUUGUUGAGAGUCCAAACUGCCCUCAAUAUUGAAUUUUAAUUUGAUGAAACAAUCAUGUUGAUUCUAGAUCCUCACUCACUCUUCUAAUAGCAAAUAAUAUAUAAUCCGACAAAUGUUGAAUUUGGAAUGUAUUAAUAAAAUUUAUUUUCCUUAGAGAAGUCAUUUUUCUAAUUUUAAAAUAAUUUAGUAGAUGUUUUCCUAAACAACUCAAAUAUCAUGUAUUCACAAACCCCCCUUGAAAGCUGUCUACUAUAUAAACCACUCUCCCUUUUCCUUUUUUGCUCAUUCAUUCUUCUUCUCUUCAUAUAAAAGGUUUCUUCUGUGUACCAAAUAAUGCAGAGGAAAAAUAAAAGGCGGCGAUUCCAUCAAGAAACCCCCCUGAGAGAUCUCUAUAUCAACCACUCCCCCUCUUCUUUUUUAGCUCACUCAUUCAUUUCAUCAUAUAAAAAAAUUCUUCUAUCGGUUUCAAAUGACGCAGGAGGAAAAUCAGCAAGGCGACGAUUCCAUCAGGUGAGAUGCGUUUUAGGGGGUGCGAGGAAGAUGCCACGGGGGAGGUACACAACUGAGAUCAGUGAUCCUGGCCAGAGGAGAAGUGUUUUGCUUGGAACAUUUGAUACACCGAAGAAGCUGCUAGGGCUUAAGACCGGCGGUGAGGAGGUAUCACGGCCACAUGAGGUAACUAAUUUUACUCUAGAUAACCUCCAAAACACCCGCGAUUUUCUCGAGAAGCUUGUUUGCAAAAAACCAACAACAAAAGAAUAGAGCUCCAACAUUCUUAUGGAUAUUCAGAGCAUUAAAAUGAUGAUUCAGUGCGGAACCAAACAUCGACUCACAUUUUCGUGUUGAUCAAUGAAUAGAAUCUAUACAUCGCUAUCAAAAAAGAAUCAACGAUCUAGCUAUCUCGAUCGGGAAAGAAUCAAGGAUAUAUACAUCUCGAUCGGAAAAUAAUUGAGGGUCUAUACAUCUUGAUCUGAAAAGAAUCAAGGAUCUAUACAUCUCGAUCAAAAAAGUAUCAAGAGAACAAGAAAGAAUCAGAAUUGAUCCAUAGAUUUCUCGAAAUUAACAAAGUUGGUCCUCUCUUAUUGUUUCAUUUUCCUUUUAUAUUUUUUGAAUUUGAAAGGAAAUUAAAAGAAAAGGGACUUACGAAAUGUCAUACAUUUAAUAUUCGAUGACGGUUUGACAUGCUCUUUGACAGUGCAAGGGUGACCUCUGAGGUUAUCUUGUGGAAAUUUAGUUACGGCUAUGUGGCUGUGAUACCUCCUCGCUGCUGUAUCAUAAGCCCUAGAAGCUUUUUUCGAUGCAUCAAAAGUCUUGAGCCAGAAACUUCUCUGGAAGGGAUCUUUAAUAUCAGCUGUGUACCUCCUCCGCGGCAUCUUCCUCACACCUCCUUAUAACGCAUCUCACCUGAGGGAAUCGUCGUCUAUCAAUGACUAUUCAAUAAGUAUGUGGUGCCUUUCAAACCAUCUAAAUUUCAAGGGACAUUUGAAUCAAUUCUUUGUGAAUAUAUGACAGUUUAGGUGAUAUGCAUUUGUUUACCAGGUAAUUUCUUUGUACUCUUUAAUGUCACUUAUCACUUUAUCGAACUGUGCAAAUCAGUUUCAAAUUUGAUGGGCAUUCGCUGUUUAUGAUACAUAUCGGACAAGAAUAGAGAAUUGAGCGGAUGUUCAUCAGUACUUCACUGACGAAGGACUAUAUUUCCAAUUAGAAAUUAUCCAUCUCCACUUACAGUGACACAUGAUUGGUAUGAGUUCGUUCAUUUCAUUGUGUUAUUUUCCCCCAUUUUGGUGAUGUUGCGAAAUGAAAGUUCACAAUUGGUGGAGUAAUACAGAGCAUAUCAUAUAGGUUAGGUGUUAAUUAGUUAGUGGUAGUCUAGUGACAAGUUGUAGUGGUUGAAUGAAUAGUUCUCAGCAGGCUCUAAUAUUAACUUUGUAUGUUUUCUGUCAUUAUUGUGACAAUUUCUAAAAUACUGAUAAUCUCUGUUCACAAGUUCCUUCUUUUUUUUUUUUUGCUUUUCAAUUUUGGUGUGGCCACCUCAUGUGAUGCACAACUCCAGAGACAUAUUAAAUUAAAAGAGAAGACACCAAAGAUAAUAGGGAGUUCCUGAUUUCUACUGCAGGGUGCGACAUCAACCGGCACAGUAUGAUUCGUGAUACUGUUACAUACACUGAGCAUGCCAGUUAACGGGAUGUUGUGUAUGCCUUUAAGAGGCAGGGAAGGACCUUAUAUGGAUUUGGAGGUUAGGGUGUUA
rnacentral:lncRNA from 1 species